rnacentral:piRNA from 1 species
UNUCUAGGUCUAUGUGGGUAAGUACUUGC